CGGAAGGCCCUGCUUUUGUGGGGUGCUCGAGUGGCGAACGGGUGAGUAACACGUGAGUAACCUGCCCUUGACUUUGGGAUAACUUCAGGAAACUGGGGCUAAUACCGGAUAGGAGCUCCUGCUGCAUGGUGGGGGUUGGAAAGUUUCGGCGGUUGGGGAUGGACUCGCGGCUUAUCAGCUUGUUGGUGGGGUAGUGGCUUACCAAGGCUUUGACGGGUAGCCGGCCUGAGAGGGUGACCGGCCACAUUGGGACUGAGAUACGGCCCAGACUCCUACGGGAGGCAGCAGUGGGGAAUAUUGCACAAUGGGCGGAAGCCUGAUGCAGCAACGCCGCGUGCGGGAUGACGGCCUUCGGGUUGUAAACCGCUUUCGCCUGUGACGAAGCGUGAGUGACGGUAAUGGGUAAAGAAGCACCGGCUAACUACGUGCCAGCAGCCGCGGUGAUACGUAGGGUGCGAGCGUUGUCCGGAUUUAUUGGGCGUAAAGGGCUCGUAGUGGUUGAUCGCGUCGGAAGUGUAAUCUUGGGGCUUAACCCUGAGCGUGCUUUCGAUACGGGUUGA
rnacentral:rRNA from 1 species